GACGAACGCUGGCGGCGUGCCUAAUACAUGCAAGUCGAACGCAGUGGGGACGGGUGAGUAACACGUGGGUAACCUCCCAUCAGAGGGGAGAACACUUGGAAACAGGUGCUAAACCGAUACUGAUGGAUGGACUCGCGGGGCAUUAGCUAGUUGGGGAGGUAACGGCUCACCAAGGCCACGAUGCAUAGCCGGGCUGGUAGGGGGGUCGGCCACACUGGGACUGAGACACGGCCCAGAGUCCUACGGGAGGCAGGAGUAGGGAAUCUUCGGGAAUGGACGAAAGUCUGACCGGGCAAAGCCGCGUGAGGGAAGAGGGUGUUCGGAUCGUAAAGCUCUGUUGUUAGAGAAGCGGUAUCUAACCAGGAAGCCACGGCUAACUACGUGCCAGCAGCCGCGGUAAUAC
rnacentral:rRNA from 1 species